GGAGCCGCAGCAGCCCGUCACCUUGCAACGGAUGGUGUAGGGCUUGCCGAUCUUGUUCCCCUAGUAACCUCUGCGCAUGGGGACAAUGGAGAGCUAGGCCAGGAUGAUGGCCCUGUGGAUGGCAGUGGCCACCUCCUUGGAGCACUUAACACCCAGACCGACGUGACCGUUGUAGCCCGCAAUGGCCACAAACGCCUUGAACCUGGUUCGCUGGCCGGCUCCGGUCUGCUUCUGCACCGGCAUAAUCUUCAAAACCUAGGCCUCGAGAGAGGCCCCCCAGGAAAAAAUCAAUGAUCUCAGAUUCCGUGAUGGGCAGGGAGAAGAGACAGAUCUCCUCCAGGGAAGUGAUCUUCAUGUGCUUGACCAGGCAGCCCAGCUUGCUGACGGGCAUCCACUCCUUAUCCUUGGCCUUGCCUCCGCGAGCUCCGUGGCUUCGGCCCCAGCCUGGUCCACGGCAGUGACCCCGGCCUCGGAUGCCACUGCCGAAACCUCCACGGAAGCCACCAUGGUUCCCCAUCCCAGGGCCCCGGGGCCUCCGGGACUCCCCCCGCAACCCAAUGCCGGCUGCGCCGGCGUCAUCCGCCAUUUGGUGUUUUCUCGGAGAAGAAGCUACAUGUGGAAUAUAUUAACGCAACAAAUUGUGCGUACUUGCUAGACAUUAGGCAUGAUAGCAAGUGCUAGGGUUACAAAGUAUUGCUUUUUGGGGAACCCAUGGUUGUUGGGGAGAAACCAGAAGAUCAGUCAUCACAGUGCGGCAAGAUCAGACUUGUGGUUUGUUCAGGUUCUGGGAGCCGUCACUGCAGUGAGAAUGGGACCCUGGUUGAAGGAACCUGUUGUUCUUAUGGUGGAGGGCAGAAACCCAAGAGGGCUGGAGCCAAUCCAUCCCUGUUUUCUUUAGACGCUGACUCCUGCUGUCUACCAGAUCCUCGUGGUACAAUGACUGGUGUAGACUGGCUUGUUGAAGUCACUCUCUGGAUCUGAGCAACGCUGGCUGAGCCGUGAUGAAGUAUUCCUAUCCAUCCACUAUGCUUCACAGUGGGAAUCUCUCACUGUUCAUCACCGCUGCCCUAGCAGCCGCAGGGAUUCUUCACCCAUGGUUGCUUAGGUUUAUAAGCAAGGAAGCUGAAUGAAGUCCCUUUCCUCUCUGGAUGAGCCCCUGGGUUUCUGGAAGAGUCUUAAAAUCACCCCUAAAUGGCUUCCAAGCACUGAAGCCCGAGAUGUUAGCUGGCCUGUGUGAGGCCUUGAGACAGAAUGCCACAGCCACACCCCAAGGAUGCUGAAGGGGAUUUCCCUCCUCUGUGGUUUUUCUCCUUUCUUCCCGCAGCACUCCUCCUACGUGCUAACAUCUUCUAGUCAAACAACUCUCCUUUUCAAAGGGACCAGGCACAGUUUCUGCUUAUCCCUGAGUAGCAGUGUUCAGUUUCCUGCCAGCCUGUGGAGUUUUUCAAACAAGCCAAUCACCUCCUCCUGUGGGAACUGAGAAGCACCCCACCCUCUCGAUACUACAAAGCCCCUGCUUGUUCCCUAGUGCAACUCCCAUGUGGUCCUGUGGAGCAUAUGGUAUCUUCCUCUUCUGGGCAGUGAGCAUAUGUGACUAAUAAAC
rnacentral:lncRNA from 1 species